UGAAUCUUCUUUUAAAAAUACAAAAAUGGAAAAAGACAUAAUAAAAAUGGGAAAAUUAAUGAUAAAUAAAAUGAGAUCUAAGACCUAACAAUCUCGUGCAUUAUAUAAUAUGUAGAGAGAGAUAUAGUGCUUAUAGAUAGUAUUUGAUUAGUUAAUAGCUAUGAUUCUUUGAAGAAGCUGUCUAGUAAAGAAGAAAAAAUUAUAUAAAAAUUUGUGUCGGUAUUAUCUUCACUUGACCCUUGCUUUACCAUUUUGAUUCGCCGAACAAUCCAAGAAUUUAACACCCACAAGGCCAGAACAAUCGCCUAUCACCGCCGUAGCCGACACCCAAAAUGAGGAAGGAAGCGGCGCCCUCCUCCGUCCCUUCCGCCGCCGCAGGCACCACCACUUUGGGGAAGCUAUUCAUUUGCUUCGAGACCAAAACAUUAGUGACCACAUUGCUGGCACUUACUUUAGUUACAUUCUAUGGAACUUACCUCCUUANNNN
rnacentral:lncRNA from 1 species